UGUGUCUCUCCCAGAAGAGGCACAGAGGGUCCCCAAAUGAAAAGACUAAAGGAAAGCAAAUAGGAAAGUUCAAGAGGUAAGGAAAGGUAGAAAGGAGACAUGGGGGUUGGAUAGAUGCCUUUGGUUUCCAAAAACGACAGCCAGUACACCUCACUUCCUCACUUCCUUAUGCAACCUAGAGGACCAUUAUUACACAAAUAUUUAUACAAACAUCGACAUGAGUAAAAGAUACAUCAG
rnacentral:lncRNA from 1 species